rnacentral:misc_RNA from 1 species
GAUGAAGAACGUAGCGAAAUGCGAUACGUAAUGUGAAUUGCAGAAUUCAGUGAAUCAUCGAAUCUUUGAACGCACAUUGCGCCCGCCAGCACUCUGGCGGGCAUGCCUGUUCGAGCGUCAUUUCAACCAUCAAGCCCCAGGCUUGCGUUGGAGCCCUGCGGCUGCCGCAGCCUCCUAAAAGCAGUGGCGGGCUCGCUAUCACACCGAGUGCAGUAGAUUACUCUUCGCUCAGGGCGUGCAGCGGGUUCCGGCGGUGAAACCCCCUACUUUUAAAGGUUGACCUCGGAUCAGGUAGGAAUACCCGCUGAACUUAAGCAUAUCAAUAAGCGGAGGA